CUGCAGAUAUGUUAACAAAGGUAGUAACUAUUGAGAAACUAAAGUCUUGUUCAACUUCAGUUGGUCUUAGUACUUCAAAAUGAAGGCGAAGUUCCAGUAAGGCCUAAUAUUCGCCUCCAAGUAGGAGAUUGUUAGAAGUGGAGACAAAUUUUGAUUUUACUUUUUAGAGAUAAGGUUGAAAAUAAUAGAGAUGGAAACAAAGUUGAACUUUACCUCUUUAAAGGAUAAGUUGUAUUCAUCAAAUAAUUCUUUGCCACCAAGAAGAAAAUUUAAACAAGUAAAUCUACCAAGUCAAGCAAGAAAAGAAAGCCCAUUGGUUGAUCAAGUUCAUCUUUGAUUUUUCAACUUCUAGAGGAGGAAUUCAAGUUGUAUUUGUCAAAUGAUAAACCGCCUUACAAAAUCUAUAAAUAGGC
rnacentral:lncRNA from 1 species